CAACCCUCAAGCCCUGCUUGGUGUUGGGGCCCUACGGUCGACGUAGGCCCUUAAAGGUAGUGGCGGACCCUCCCGGAGCCUCCUUUGCGUAGUAACUUAACGUCUCGCACUGGGAUCCGGAGGGACUCCUGCCGUAAAACCCCCCAAACUUUUACA
rnacentral:misc_RNA from 1 species